UCUUGCAGGCUUGGACCAUAUCCCCAGCAGAGGCGGAUCAUUUUUCAACAUCUGUACGGCACAUUGGCGGAAGUUGCUCCUGACAGCAUUCCGGAUUGAUAAUCCCCAGGGAGGUUUAUUUCCUCACCCGUCCGUGAAAAGAAAUCCUGAUUAUUCCCAGCUUAGUCCCAGGCAAGUGGCUGCCUUAUCUUGACAUAUGUAGAUGUCAUCCCUACAAUACCGGUAGGUGUCGUGUUGAUCCCC
rnacentral:lncRNA from 1 species